CUUGCGCUAAUAGAUGAGCCUAAGUCGGAUUAGCUAGUUGGUGGGGUAAAGGCCUACCAAGGCGACGAUCUGUAGCGGGUCUGAGAGGAUGAUCCGCCACACUGGGACUGAGACACGGCCCAGACUCCUACGGGAGGCAGCAGUGGGGAAUAUUGGACAAUGGGGGGAACCCUGAUCCAGCCAUGCCGCGUGUGUGAAGAAGGCCUUAUGGUUGUAAAGCACUUUAAGCGAGGAGGAGGCUCUUUUGGUUAAUACCCAAGAUGAGUGGACGUUACUCGCAGAAUAAGCACCGGCUAACUCUGUGCCAGCAGCCGCGGUAAUACAGAGGGUGCAAGCGUUAAUCGGAUUUACUGGGCGUAAAGCGCGCGUAGGCGGCCAAUUAAGUCAAAUGUGAAAUCCCCGAGCUUAACUUGGGAAUUGCAUUCGAUACUGGUUGGCUAGAGUGUGGGAGAGGAUGGUAGAAUUCCAGGUGUAGCGGUGAAAUGCGUAGAGAUCUGGAGGAA
rnacentral:rRNA from 1 species